GGUGUUGCAUGGCUGUCGUCAGCUCGUGUCGUGAGAUGUUGGGUUAAGUCCCGCAACGAGCGCAACCCUCAUCCUUAGUUACCAUCAGGUAAUGCUGGGGACUUUAAGGAAACUGCCAGUGAUAAACUGGAGGAAGGUGGGGAUGAUGUCAAGUCAUCAUGGCCCUUAUGGAGUGGGCUACACACGUGCUACAAUGGUGGCUACAAUGGGCUGCAAAGUCGCGAGGCUAAGCUAAUCCCUUAAAAGCCAUCUCAGUUCGGAUUGUACUCUGCAACUCGAGUGCAUGAAGUUGGAAUCGCUAGUAAUCGUGGAUCAGCACGCCACGGUGAAUACGUUCCCGGGUCUUAUACACAC
rnacentral:rRNA from 1 species